rnacentral:rRNA from 1 species
GCGAACGCUGGCGGCGUGCUUAACACAUGCAAGUCGAACGGAAAGGCCCUGCUUUUGUGGGGUGCUCGAGUGGCGAACGGGUGAGUAACACGUGAGUAACCUGCCCUUGACUUUGGGAUAACUUCAGGAAACUGGGGCUAAUACCGGAUAGGAGCUCCUGCUGCAUGGUGGGGGGUGGAAAGGUUCGGCGGUUGGGGAUGGACUCGCGGCUUAUCAGCUUGUUGGUGGGGUAGUGGCUUACCAAGGCUUUGACGGGUAGCCGGCCUGAGAGGGUGACCGGCCACAUUGGGACUGAGAUACGGCCCAGACUCCUACGGGAGGCAGCAGUGGGGAAUAUUGCACAAUGGGCGGAAGCCUGAUGCAGCAACGCCGCGUGCGGGAUGACGGCCUUCGGGUUGUAAACCGCUUUCGCCUGUGACGAAGCGUGAGUGACGGUAAUGGGUAAAGAAGCACCGGCUAACUACGUG